rnacentral:rRNA from 2 species
UGGGGAAUUUUGGACAAUGGGCGCAAGCCUGAUCCAGCCAUUCCGCGUGCAGGAUGAAGGCCCUCGGGUUGUAAACUGCUUUUGGACGGAACGAAAAGGCGCUUUCUAAUACAGAGCGCUCAUGACGGUACCGUCAGAAUAAGCACCGGCUAACUACGUGCCAGCAGCCGCGGUAAUACGUAGGGUGCAAGCGUUAAUCGGAAUUACUGGGCGUAAAGCGUGCGCAGGCGGUUAUGUAAGACAGGUGUGAAAUCCCCGGGCUUAACCUGGGAACUGCAUUUGUGACUGCAUAGCUAGAGUACGGUAGAGGGGGAUGGAAUUCCGCGUGUAGCAGUGAAAUGCGUAGAUAUGCGGAGGAACACCGAUGGCGAAGGCAAUCCCCUGGACCUGUACUGACGCUCAUGCACGAAAGCGUGGGGAGCAAACA